UCCGUAGGUGAACCUGCGGAGGGAUCAUUACCGAGUGUAAAAACUCCCAAACCAUUGUGAACUUACCACUGUUGCUUCGGCGGCCUCGCCCCGGGCGCGUUCGCGCGGCCCGGACCCAGGCGUCCGCCGGAGGCUUCAAACUCUUGUCUUUUAGUGUAUUUCUGAGUGGCAUAAGCAAAUAAAUCAAAACUUUCAGCAACGGAUCUCUUGGUUCUGGCAUCGAUGAAGAACGCAGCAAAAUGCGAUAAGUAAUGUGAAUUGCAGAAUUCAGUGAAUCAUCGAAUCUUUGAACGCACAUUGCGCCCGCCAGUAUUCUGGCGGGCAUGCCUGUCUGAGCGUCAUUUCAACCCUCAGGACCCGUUCGCGGGACCUGGCGUUGGGGAUCAGCCUGCCCCUGGCGGCGGCUGGCCCUGAAAUACAGUGGCGGUUCCCUCGCGAACUCCUCCGUGCAGUAAUUAAACCUCUCGCGGCAGGAUAGCGGUUGAACCACGCCGUUAAACCCCCCACUUCUCAAGGUUGACCUCAGAUCAGGUAGGAAUACCCGCUGAACUUAAGCAUAUCAAUAA
rnacentral:rRNA from 1 species